UACGGAGGAUGCAAGCGUUAUCCGGAAUGAUUGGGCGUAAAGGGUCCGCAGGUGGCAAUGUAAGUCUGCUGUCAAAGAAUGAGGCUUAACCUCAUCAAGGCAGUGGAAACUACAUAGCUAGAGUACGGUCGGGGUAGAAGGAAUUCCUGGUGUAGCGGUGAAAUGCGUAGAUAUCGGGAGGAACACCAGUGGCGAAGGCGACUACCUGGCCUGUUCUUGACGCUGAGGCGCGAAAGCUAGGGGAGCAAACGGG
rnacentral:rRNA from 1 species